AGCAGCCGCGGUAAUUCCAGCUCCAAUAGCGUAUAUUAAAGUUGUUGCAGUUAAAAAGCUCGUAGUUGAAUUUCGGGAUCGAUACGUCGGUCGUGCCUUCGGUACGCACUGGCGUUUAUCGAUUUCUCCCUUCUGACGAUCCAUGAUGUCAUUAAUUUGGUGUUAUGGGGAAUCAGGACUGUUACUUUGAAAAAAUUAGAGUGUUUAAAGCAGGCAUUAGCUUGAAUACAUUAGCAUGGAAUAAUGAAAUAGGACGUUCGAACCUAUUUUGUUGGUUUUUAGGAUCAACGUAAUGAUUAAUAGGGAUAGUUGGGGGCAUUAGUAUUCAAUUGUCAGAGGUGAAAUUCUUGGAUUUAUUGAAGACUAACUACUGCGAAAGCAUUUGCCAAGGAUGUUUUCAUUAAUCAAGAACGAAAGUUAGGGGAUCGAAGACGAUCAGAUACCGUCGUAGUCUUAACCAUAAACUAUGCCGACUAGGGAUCGGAUGAUGUUAAUUUUUUAAUGACUCAUUCGGCGCCUUACG
rnacentral:rRNA from 1 species